rnacentral:rRNA from 1 species
AGAAUCAACGCUGGCGGCGUGCCUAACACAUGCAAGUCGAACGCGGUUACCCCGCAAGGGGUAACUGAGUGGCGAACGGGUGAGUAACACGUGGGUGACCUACCUUCGAAUGGGGAUAACGUCCCGAAAGGGACGCUAAUACCGCAUAACAUCCUGUCCUUGAACGGAUGGUGAUCAAAGCCGGGGAUCGCAAGACCUGGCGUUUGAAGAGGGGCCCGCGUCCGAUUAGCUAGUUGGUGAGGUAAUGGCUCACCAAGGCGACGAUCGGUAACCGG